rnacentral:sRNA from 1 species
CCCACGGCUCACGCCGUGGGCUAGGAUCUAACGCCCCUACCGGGGCU